GGGGUUGUGGUUCAGUGGUAGAGCACUUGCCUAGCAUGCAUGAGAAACUGGGUUCGAUCCCUGGCACCA
rnacentral:tRNA from 1 species